UUUUCACGUUUUGACUAUUAGUCCUGUGGUCUUGAUGCAGGAGAUUAAUCUCCCAGUAGAAGUGGGUGGUACUUUCACUGGAGGAGAACUCAACAGAUGAAAUGAAAGUCCAUAAAUGACUUCCAAUCAGUGCUCAGUGGUAACUAUAUCAAUAUCUCAAAGU